rnacentral:rRNA from 1 species
AUGGCUUUCUACCGCGGCAGCGGCAUGGGCAUGGGCAUGGGUGGCGGGUCUUCGUCGUCGUGGGCGCCGGCGGCGAUGCCGCCUCCGCCGCCGCCGCCCAGCAGGCCGUGGACCAAGGCGGAGGACAAGGUGUUCGAGAGCGCGCUGGUGGCGAUCCCGGAGCACGUGCCGAACCGGUGGGUGUUCGUGGCGGCGCAGCUGCCGGGGCGCACGCCGCAGGAGGCGUGGGAGCACUACCAGGCGCUGGUGGCCGACAUCGACCUCAUCGAGCGCGGCCUGGUGGAGGCGCCCGAGUCGUGGGACGACGACGACGACGGCGCCGCCGCCGGCGGCACCGUCGCGGCGGGGCGCGGCCGCCCCCGCGGCUCAGGCUGCGAGGAGCGCCGCAAGGGCAUACCCUGGACCGAGGAGGAGCACAGGAUGUUCCUGGAGGGGCUGGAGAAGUACGGGCGCGGGGACUGGAGGAACAUCUCGCGGUGGUCGGUGAAGACGCGGACGCCGACGCAGGUGGCCAGCCAUGCGCAGAAGUACUUCAUCCGCCAGGCCAACGCCGCCACCCGCGGCGACAGCAAGCGCAAGAGCAUCCACGACAUCACCAACCCGUGA